UGAGAGCUUGCUCUCAAGAAGUUAGCGGCGGACGGGUGAGUAACACGUGGGUAACCUGCCCAUAAGACUGGGAUAACUCCGGGAAACCGGGGCUAAUACCGGAUAACAUUUUGAACUGCAUGGUUCGAAAUUGAAAGGCGGCUUCGGCUGUCACUUAUGGAUGGACCCGCGUCGCAUUAGCUAGUUGGUGAGGUAACGGCUCACCAAGGCAACGAUGCGUAGCCGACCUGAGAGGGUGAUCGGCCACACUGGGACUGAGACACGGCCCAGACUCCUACGGGAGGCAGCAGUAGGGAAUCUUCCGCAAUGGACGAAAGUCUGACGGAGCAACGCCGCGUGAGUGAUGAAGGCUUUCGGGUCGUAAAACUCUGUUGUUAGGGAAGAACAAGUGCUAGUUGAAUAAGCUGGCACCUUGACGGUACCUAACCAGAAAGCCACGGCUAACUACGUGCCAGCAGCCGCGGUAAUACGUAGGUGGCAAGCGUUAUCCGGAAUUAUUGGGCGUAAAGCGCGCGCAGGUGGUUUCUUAAGUCUGAUGUGAAAGCCCACGGCUCAACCGUGGAGGGUC
rnacentral:rRNA from 1 species